rnacentral:lncRNA from 1 species
AAAGAAAAGGUGACAUUAGACAUACUCAAAGGCCUUAACAGAAAACAUACCUGAAAAUCCUCAAUCUGCGUCGCGCCCUGCUAAAAAAAAAAAAAAGGCCACACGACCUAAAGGAAUUUCCAAUCUGCGUCAAGACCUGCUAGAAAAAAAGAAAAGGCGACAUUAGACAUACACAAAGGUCUUAAGAGAAAACAUACCUGGAAUACCUCAAUCUGCGUCGCGACCCUGCUAGAAAAAAAGAAAAGGCGACAUUAGACAUACACAAAGGUCUUAACAGAAAACAUACCUGGAAUUCCUCAAUCUGCGUCGCGACCUGCUAGAAAAAAAGAAAAGGCAACAUUAGACAUACACAAAGGUCUUAACAGAAAACAUACCUGGAAUCCUCAAUCUGCGUCGCGCCCUGCUAGAAAAAAGAAAAGACAACAUUAGACAUACACAAAGGUCUUAACAGAAAACAUACCUGAAAAUCCUCAAUCUGCGUCGCGCCCUGCUAGAAAAAAAGAAAAGACAACAUUAGACAUACACAAAGGUCUUAACAGAAAACAUACCUGGAAUUCCUCAAUCUGCGUCGCGACCUGCUAGAAAAAAAGAAAAGGCGUGAACAUUAGACAUACACAAAGGUCUUAACAGAAAACAUACCUGCGAAUCCUCAAUCUGCGUCGCGCCCUGCUAGAAAAAAAAGAAAAGACAACAUUAGACAUACACAAAGGUCUUAACAGAAAACAUACCUGAAAAUCCUCAAUCUGCGUCGCGCCCUGCCAAAAAAAAAGAAAAGCCCACAGACUAAAGGAAAAAAAAGGAACCAUUAGACAUACACAAAGGUCUUAACAGAAAACAUACCUGGAAUACCUCAAUCUGCGUCGCACCCUGCUAGAAAAAAAGAAAAGACAACAUUAGACAUACACAAAGGUCUUAAACAGAAAACAUACCUGGAAUUCCUCAAUCUGCGUCGCGACCUGCUAGAAAAAAAGAAAAGGCGACAUUAGACAUACACAAAGGUCUUAACAGAAAACAUACUACCUGCGAAUCCUGCAAUCUGCGUCGCGCCCUGCAGAAAAAAAAGAAAAGACAACAUUAGACAUACACAAAGGUCUUAACAGAAAACAUACCUGAAAAUCCUCAAUCUGCGUCGCGCCCUGCUAAAAAAAAAAAAAAGGCCACAUGACCUAAAGGAAUUUCCAAUCUGCGUCAAGACCUGCUAGAAAAAAAGAAAAGGCGAAAUUAGACAUACACAAAGGUCUUAACAGAAAACAUACCUGAAAAUCCUCAAUCUGCAUCGCGCCCUGCUAGAAAAAAAGAAAAGUCGACAUUAGACAUACACAAAGGCCUUAACAGAAAACAUACCUUGAAUCUCCAAUCUGCGUCGCGCCCUGCUAGAAAAAAAGAAAAGACAACAUUAGACAUACACAAAGGUCUUAACAGAAAACAUACCUGGAAUCCUCAAUCUGCGUCGCGCCCUGCUAGAAAAAAAAGAAAAGGCGCAAUUAGACAUACACAAAGGUCUUAACAGAAAACAUACCUGGGAAUCCUCAAUCUGCGUCGCGCCCUGCUAGAAAAAAAGAAAAGACAACAUUAGACAUACACAAAGGUCUUAACAGAAAACAUACCUGAAAAUCCUCAAUCUGCGUCAUAAAAAAAAGAAAGGCCACACGACCUAAAGGAAAAAAAAAGAAACAUUAGACAUACACAAAGGUCUUAACAGAAAACAUACCUGGAAUCCUCAAUCUGCGUCGCACCCUGCUAGAAAAAAAGAAAAGACAACAUUAGACAUACACAAAGGUCUUAACAGAAAACAUACCUGGAAUUCCUCAAUCUGCGUCGCGACCUGCUAGAAAAAAAGAAAAGGCAACAUUAGACAUACACAAAGGUCUUAACAGAAAACAUACCUGCGAAUCCUCAAUCUGCGUCGCGCCCUGCUAGAAAAAAAGAAAAGGCGAAAUUAGACAUACACAAAGGUCUUAACAGAAAACAUACCUGGAAUCCUCAAUCUGCGUCGCCCCUGCUAGAAAAAAAGAAAAGGCGAAAUUAGACAUACACAAAGGUCUUAACAGAAAACAUACCUGGAAUUCCUCAAUCUGCGUCGCGCCCUGCUAGAAAAAAAGAAAAGGCGACAUUAGACAUACACAAAGGUCUUAACAGAAAACAUACCUGCGAAUCUUCAAUCUGCGUCGCGCUCUGCUGGGAAAAAAAAGAAAAGACAACAUUAGACAUACACAAAGGUCUUAACAGAAAACAUACCUGGAAAUCCUCAAUCUGCGUCGCGCCCUGCUAAAAAAAAAAAAAGGCCACACGACCUAAAGGCAAUCUGCGUCAAGACCUGCUAGAAAAAAAGAAAAGGCGACAUUAGACAUACACAAAGGUCUUAACAGAAAACAUACCUGGAAUUCCUCAAUCUGCGUCGCGACCUGCUAGAAAAAAAGAAAAGGCGACAUUAGACAUACACAAAGGUCUUAACAGAAAACAUACCUGGAAUUCCUCAAUCUGCGUCGCGCCCUGCUAGAAAAAAAGAAAAGGCAACAUUAGACAUACACAAAGGUCUUAACAGAAAACAUACCUGAAAAUCCUCAAUCUGCGUCGCGCCCUGCUAGAAAAAAAGAAAAGGCAACAUUAGACAUACACAAAGGUCUUAACAGAAAACAUACCUUCGAAUCUUCAAUCUGCGUCGCGUCCUGCUGGAAAAAAAAAGAAAAGGUGACAUUAGACAUACUCA